UACGUAGGGGGCAAGCGUUGUCCGGAAUCAUUGGGCGUAAAGCGCGUGUAGGCGGCUCGAUAAGUCUGCUGUGAAAGUCCAGGGCUCAACCCUGGGAUGCCGGUGGAUACUGUCGAGCUCGAGUCCGGAAGAGGAGAGUGGAAUUCCCGGUGUAGCGGUGAAAUGCGCAGAUAUCGGGAAGAACACCCGUGGCGAAGGCGGCUCUCUGGGACGGUACUGACGCUGAGACGCGAAAGCGUGGGGAGCGAACAGG
rnacentral:rRNA from 1 species